CCCGCUCAGAAACUCAAAGGACUUGACGGGACCCGCACAAGCAGCGGAGCGUGUGGUUUAAUUCGAUGCUACACGAAGAACCUUACCAAGGUUUGACAUGUAAGUGGUAGUGAUCUGAAAAGUGAACGACCCUUCGGGGAGCUUACACAGGUGCUGCAUGGCUGUCGUCAGCUCGUGUCGUGAGAUGUUCGGUUAAGUCCGCUAACGAGCGCAACCCUCACUGUGUGUUACAUGUGUCACACGGGACUGCCGGUUUUAAGCCGGAGGAAGGCGAGGAUGACGUCAAGUCAGCAUGGCCUUUAUAUCUUGGGCUACACACACGCUACAAUGGUCUGUACAAUAGGUUGCCAAGCCGCGAGGCGGAGCCAAUCCUUAAAGCAGGCCUCAGUUCAGAUUGCAGGCUGCAACCCGCCUGCAUGAAGAUGGAGUUGCUAGUAACCGCAGGUCAGCUAUACUGCGGUGAAUACGUUCCCGGGUCUU
rnacentral:rRNA from 1 species